AGGACGAACGCUGGCGGCGUGCCUAAUACAUGCAAGUCGAACGGUCUUUCUAUGGAAGCUUGCUUCCACUGAGAAGAUAGUGGCGAACGGGUGAGUAACACGUGGGUAACCUGCCCAUAAGAGGGGGAUAACAUCCGGAAACGGGUGCUAAUACCGCAUAGUUUUCUUGAUCGCAUGAUCGGGAAAGGAAAGACGGCCUUUGUGCUGUCGCUUAUGGAUGGACCCGCGGCGUAUUAGUUAGUUGGUGAGGUAACGGCUCACCAAGACGAUGAUACGUAGCCGACCUGAGAGGGUGAUCGGCCACAUUGGGACUGAGACACGGCCCAAACUCCUACGGGAGGCAGCAGUAGGGAAUCUUCCGCAAUGGACGAAAGUCUGACGGAGCAACGCCGCGUGAGUGAAAGAAGGUUUUCGGAUCGUAAAACUCUGUUGUCAGAGAAGAACAAGUUGGAGAGUAACUGCUCCAGCCUUGACGGUAUCUGACCAGAAAGCCACGGCUAAUUACGUGCCAGCCGCGGC
rnacentral:rRNA from 1 species